rnacentral:rRNA from 1 species
AAUCUUGCGCAAUGGGCGAAAGCCGGCCGCAGCCAUCCCGCGUGAAUGAUGAAGGUCUUAGGCUUGGAAAAUUCUUUCACCGGGGACUAUAAUUACGGUACCCGGAGAAGUAGCCCCGGCUACCUUCGUCCCAGCAGCCGCGGUAAUACGAAGGGGGCUAGCGUUGCUCGGAAUUACUGGGCGUACAGGGCGCGUAGGCGGAUCGUUAAGUCAGAGGUGAAAUCCCAGGGCUCAACCCUGGAACUGCCUUUGAUACUGGCGAUCUUGAGUAUGAGAGAGGUAUGUGGAACUCCGAGUGUAGAGGUGAAAUUCGUAGAUAUUCGGAAGAACACCAGUGGCGAAGGCGACAUACUGGCUCAUUACUGACGCUGAGGCGCGAAAGCGUGGGAAGCAAACAG